CCCAGUUCUCUUGGGUCCCCGUCCUUCCUUCUGUCCACCAGCCCGCAUUGGCUCUCAUCCGUGGCGCCAGGCCCUCGGAAGCGAAGGAGGAGGGGAGCCUGCCCACGGGUAGCACAAGCCUGCUGACCACCGACACUUCUCUCCCUGCAGGUGGAGGAGUGGGAGUGCCGCCAGCUGCAGGAAACCGUCCGCCUGGACAGCCUCCCCAGGGAUCCAGCUCCUUAUCGCCUCCUGGAGAAGGAAACCCUAUACCAGGUCAGUCCACCAACGUCCCUUCUGCAAAAUGGAGUGGGGACGUAGCCCCACAGGCGUGCCCCUCUCCCAGUCCCCAAACAGCUGUCUUCUUGGGGAAUAAUAAUGAUAUAAUGAUAAUAAUGCUAAUAAUAGUCUGAGAAUGGCGGAGCUGGAAGGGACCCUCUGGAAGAUGGAGUCCAGCCCUGGUUAAGGACAGCCUUGGGAUCAAACUCCCAACCUGUGGCUCUGCAGCCAGAGAUCAUCUAGGCCACCGAGCUACCCAGCAGGGGACUGGGUUUGUAGGAUCUGGUGCCCGCCUCGAACCCACCACGGAGGGCUGGGCCCCCACAGGUGCCUCUUAGGACUCAUGGCCAUUGCUUAUCCACAGAGUCCGGAGCCCUUCCACGGUUGGUCUGCAAACCCCCAGAGACUGGGCGCGCUGGGGGAGGUCGGGUGGCUAUCAUGACAAUCAUCCUCUUUCUGGGCUCUGGGAGGAGACAAUGGCCUCACCUGCCAAAAAUGGGAGUUUUCUGCAGCAUGUGAGAAGGCGGAAGAUGCGCCACUGAGAAAAGACCAGGCAGGCCUCCCGGGGUGACGGCGCUGUACGGAUGCAGAUCUGGAGCGACCUUGUUUGCAGAGCCCACCGUUUUGCUUCUUCCUCUCCCCUCCGCAGUGCUACGACCUCUUUCACCUCCUCCGUCUCCGGACGGCCUAUGUGACCAACCAUCGGGGCCAGCUGGUGGGCGUGGUGGCUCUCAAGGAGCUCAAGGCGGCCAUCGAAGUGUGCGUCAGCGGCACCUUAACCACCAAAUCCCAACAUCAGUCACGCGAGCUGGGAAUCCGGGAACGGAAGCCAUCGGAGGAGGUGGAACUCACAAGCCCCCCAGCAUAAAGUGGGAUGGAGGGGGGGGCAGGCCGUCAGGAGCAACCCCCCCAAAAAAAACCUCCCUGAAAGUCUGUGCAACCUCUUGUCGCGUGGCGUGACUCUUCACCCGCCCAGCCUUGCCCCCGACGGACAACAGACGAUGCCUGAAGGGUGAAAUAGGGUGGGAGACGGAGGCUGCUGCAAGAAAGAAUCACCAGAAAGGGGCAGAUGAUCGACCAACGAGGGGAAGGAGAAGCAUUUGGGAAAACGCAAAGGAUGGGAGUUUUCAGGGAACGUGACAGAGACAGCCUCCAAACCUCCCCGUUUUUUGUUUAGUAUUUUUGAGGACAAAAAACGGUCUCCUGAUGCCAUCUAGAUAGUGUGAGGGACUACUUACUCCCCAGCACCCUCUGGCCGAUGCUCCCUGCCAAAGUUUAAAUUUAAAAGAAUUCACCACUAGAGGGCGAAAGGGGGACUUUCCCAGUACUAAAAAAAAUGUAUAAUUUCUAAAUAUAAAGGGGAAAAUGGGAGUCUGGGAAGGAAAUAAAGCUCUCCAAGGUUCAGAAAAAAUGGUGAUG
rnacentral:lncRNA from 1 species